AUUGAACGCUGGCGGCAUGCCUUACACAUGCAAGUCGAACGGCAGCACGGGUGCUUGCCCCUGGUGGCGAGUGGCGAACGGGUGAGUAAUACAUCGGAACAUGUCCUGUAGUGGGGGAUAGCCCGGCGAAAGCCGGAUUAAUACCGCAUACGAUCUACGGAUGAAAGCGGGGGACCUUCGGGCCUCGCGCUAUAGGGUUGGCCGAUGGCUGAUUAGCUAGUUGGUGGGGUAAAGGCCUACCAAGGCGACGAUCAGUAGCUGGUCUGAGAGGACGACCAGCCACACUGGGACUGUGACACGGCCCAGACUCCUACGGGAGGCAGCAGUGGGGAAUUUUGGACAAUGGGCGAAAGCCUGAUCCAGCAAUGCCGCGUGUGUGAAGAAGGCCUUCGGGUUGUAAAGCACUUUUGUCCGGAAAGAAAUCCUUGGCCCUAAUACGGUCGGGGGAUGACGGUACCGGAAGAAUAAGCACCGGCUAACUACGUG
rnacentral:rRNA from 1 species